CAGGGCGCCAUAGAGGGUGAGAGCCCCGUAUAGUCGGAUGCCGAUCCAAUGUAAAGUUCCUUCGACGAGUCGAGUAGUUUGGGAAUGCUGCUCAAAAUGGGAGGUAAAUUUCUUCUAAAGCUAAAUAUAGGCCAGAGACCGAUAGCGCACAAGUAGAGUGAUCGAAAGAUGAAAAGCACUUUGAAAAGAGGGUUAAAUAGCACGUGAAAUUGUUGAAAGGGAAGCGUUUGUGACCAGACUUGCGCCGUUCCGAUCAUCCGGCGUUCUCGCCGGUGCACUCGGGGCGGCUCAGGCCAGCAUCGGUUUUGGUGGGGGGAUAAAGGUCCAGGGAACGUAGCUCCUCCGGGAGUGUUAUAGCCCUGGGCGUAAUGCCCUCGCUGGGACCGAGGUUCGCGCAUCUGCAAGGAUGCUGGCGUAAUGGUCAUCAACGACCCGUCUUGAAACACGGACCAAGGAGUCAAGGUUUUGCGCGAGUGUUUGGGUGUAAAACCCGCACGCGUAAUGAAAGUGAACGUAGGUGAGAGCUUCGGCGCAUCAUCGACCGAUCCUGAUGUAUUCGGAUGGAUUUGAGUAAGAGCGUUAAGCCUUGGACCCGAAAGAUGGUGAACUAUGCUUGGAUAGGGUGAAGCCAGAGGAAACUCGCAGCGGUUCUGACGUGCAAAUCGAUCGUCAAAUCUGAGC
rnacentral:rRNA from 1 species